rnacentral:rRNA from 1 species
CGCAUCUGUGCAUGCAGCAUAUCAAUAAGCGGAGGAAAAGAAACUAACAAGGAUUCCCUUAGUAACGGCGAGUGAAGCGGGAAGAGCUCAAAUUUGAAAUCUUCAAGGUUUUACCUUGACGAAUUGUAGUUUAAAGAAGUGUUUUCUGUUGAAGUUUUGGUAAAAGUUCUUUGGAAUAGGACAUCAUAGAGGGUGAGAAUCCCGUAUUUGACCAUUAUUUUCAGCUGUGUGAUACACUUUCAAAGAGUCGGAUUGUUUGGGAAUGCAGUCCAAAAUGGGUGGUAAAUUUCAUCUAAAGCUAAAUAUUGGCGAGAGACCGAUAGCGAACAAGUACCGUGAGGGAAAGAUGAAAAGGAACUUUGAAAAGAGAGUUAAACAGUACGUGAAAUUGUCAAAAGGGAAGCGUUUGACACCAGUGUUGUUUUCUCGAAAAUCAAUUAAAAAGAGUUAGAUUUUGUUGUGUAUUGACCUUAACAGCUUGCAUUUCAAUUUUCUUGCUUUUUUUAAUGCACUUUUCGUUUAACAAGUCAACAUCAGUUUCUUUUGUUGUAAAAAGGUCAUUGGAAGGUGGCUUUCUUUUCGGAGAAAGUGUUUAUAGCCUUUGACUCCUGCAAUCGGAGAGACUGAGGUCUGCAGCGUAGAUCCUUCGGGGUUAGAUACAUUUGUGCUAAGUUAUAGCUUUUUAUAGACAACUUGUUGACUAUGAUUAGUCUUGUAGCUUACUCGCUUAUGCUAUUUUACCUACGCUUAGGAUGUUGACACACGCGCGUGCUCG